AAUAAUUGAAAAGGUUUAAGUCUAUAACCUUGCUUUCUAGGAUGCAACUCCGAAAUUUACUUCUCGAUGCAAUUGACAGUCUACUGCCUAUUCUGAGCUUGAAAAAUGUAUAGGAAGAAGGGGUGAGAUUAUAAAAUCCCAGUGAGUAGACAGACAUCAUCAAAAUAAUCUAAAGUCGAGUAAUAGGAGACAAUUAAAAUAAUUCAUCCCAACCCAUAUAAAUAAUUGGAUUUCAUCCAAUUACUCAAC
rnacentral:lncRNA from 1 species